rnacentral:rRNA from 1 species
CAAUCCGAACUGAAAAUGGUUUUAUGGGAUUCGCUCCACCUCGCGGUUUUGCAGCCCUUUGUACCAUCCAUUGUAGCACGUGUGUAGCCCAGGUCAUAAGGGGCAUGAUGAUUUGACGUCAUCCCAACCUUCCUCCGGUUUGUCACCGGCAGUCAACUUAGAGUGCCCAACUAAAUGCUGGCAACUAAGUUCAAGGGUUGCGCUCGUUGCGGGACUUAACCCAACAUCUCACGACACGAGCUGACGACAACCAUGCACCACCUGUCACCUAUGUCCCCGAAGGGAAAACUCUAUCUCUAGAGCGGGCAUAGGGAUGUCAAGACCUGGUAAGGUUCUUCGCGUUGCUUCGAAUUAAACCACAUGCUCCACCGCUUGUGCGGGUCCCCGUCAAUUCUUUUGAGUUUCAGCCUUGCGGCCGUACUCCCCAGGCGGAGUGCUUAAUGCGUUAACGCCAGCACUAAGGGGCGGAAACCCCCUAACACCUAACACUCAUCGUUUACGGCGUGGACUACCAG